rnacentral:rRNA from 1 species
GGUUUACCUGUGUGACUGCGUACCUUUUGUAUAAUGGGUCAGCGACUUAUAUUCUGUAGCAAGGUUAACCGCAUAGGGGAGCCGGAGGGAAACCGAGUCUUAACCGGGCGUUAAGUUGCAGGGUAUAGACCCGAAACCCGGUGAUCUAGCCAUGGGCAGGUUGAAGGUUGGGUAACACUAACUGGAGGACCGAACCGACUAAUGUUGAAAAAUUAGCGGAUGACCUGUGGCUGGGGGUGAAAGGCCAAUCAAACCGGGAGAUAGCUGGUUCUCCCCGAAAGCUAUUUAGGUAGCGCCUCGUGAACUCAUCUCCGGGGGUAGAGCACUGUUUCGGCUAGGGGGCCAUCCCGGCUUACCAACCCGAUGCAAACUGCGAAUACCGGAGAAUGUUAUCACGGGAGACACACGGCGGGUGCUAACGUCCGUCGUGAAGAGGGAAACAACCCAGACCGCCAGCUAAGGUCCCAAAGUCAUGGUUAAGUGGGAAACGAUGUGGGAAGGCCCAGACAGCCAGGAUGUUGGCUUAGAAGCAGCCAUCAUUUAAAGAAAGCGUAAUAGCUCACUGGUCGAGUCGGCCUGCGCGGAAGAUGUAACGGGGCUAAACCAUGCACCGAAGCUGCGGCAGCGACACUGUGUGUUGUUGGGUAGGGGAGCGUUCUGUAAGCCUGUGAAGGUGUGUCGUGAGGCAUGCUGGAGGUAUCA